rnacentral:SRP_RNA from 1 species
CGGGCGGAGUAUCGGGUGGAGGUCGCAAUGAAGUUUGGAGUGAGAGAAGGGAAAAGCAGCAAGGCAAUGCUGCUGCUGCUGUCGGUCC